AGUAAAAUGGUACAUGAACAGAAAGAUGAGAGGGGGAGAGAGAAAGACACUCUGGUUGGAUAACAGGAAAUCAUAUAACCAUAUUUGCAACUGAGCUUUGGGAGCAUGGUCUUUAUAAUGGGGUUAGCUAAUCUAGAUAAUAAUAAGGAUAGGAAAGUCAGCAAUCAUAAUCAUAUUUAAUGGAUUCCAGAUGGAGAAGUAUAAUUGUUCUCAUUAUCAUUGUGAAAACUCCAAGGAAAUACAAUCCCAAGAUACUUUACCUUGACAAGCAACCAGGAACAAUAUCAACAUCAAGUCAUGGGAUUUGGAGAAAGAGCUGUGUUGCUGUUUAUGAAUCACUGUUGGAUGAGACUCUAAGAACUGAAGAGGAGUAAUCAGUAAUAAACCUCAAACCUUUGGAGGCUAUUGGCUGCCCAUCAGCACUGCAAAUUUUGGGUACUCUACUUUGUGUACCCAAACAGAAAGAAAUUGAAUGCUGCCAAAGAAGCAGGGCUCUGCAGAAAAAUUGGAGAAAAAAAGAAAAUAAGGAAUUAAGAAGAAACAUUUAUCAGAAUUUCAAGGAAAACGUCCUUUCUUCCUGCAAAGCACAUAUUGGCCCCGAUUCUGCAACCCUUGUGGAUAUGAACAGCUACGCAAAAGGCAUCCAUAUCGGUGGGACCACAGCAGAAUGUCCCACAGGAUUGUUCACAAAGAGCCAUUUGCUGUGGAACAUGGUGAGAACAGCUCUAGCUCUGGCUGAGGACUAGCUGCUAGCAAUAUGCAGCCACAAGGUCUGGGUCUGGCUGGAGAACGUGUCCCUUGGUGUUUCGUCCAGCCAUUCACACAGCAGUGUGAAGCAUGAGAGUCCUCUGUUCUCUUCAGCCACGUUUUGUGUUCCAGGGAAUUUAGAUAAAGGCUUAGGAGGGAGCUGAAAUGUGUCUCCAGGCCUUGAGGGCGUUUUAAUUCUCAAUCUCAGCUGCAGGAAUGCGUUGGGUACCACAUAGAGAGUUCAGACUGAGUGAAUUGGGUGAGUCCACUGGGGUGGCUGGACAUCACUUUGCACUGCAGCACAUGCCAGUGUUUUCCUCAGGAAAAUCACUGCUCCCCAGCCCACUGGGCUCUCACCUGAAAUGAUCAUUCCUGUAACUCACGAUGUCAAAUUACUCUUUCCUUGCUCCUUUUUACAAUUAUCUUUCUUCCGCCCCUUUCCUUUCCUUUGUCAUCUUGGCCUGGAAAUGAGCCUUGAUUGUUUCAGUUACACAAUCUAAACAGAGAUGAGCUGCAGCCAAAUCUCGAGUCUUGGGCUAAUUAAUGACACAGUAGCACAGUUUCCAUGAAGAAAAGUCUGUUGCAUUUCCCAGGUUCGCGUUAGCCCUCAUAUAAUUUGAGAGGCGACAAAGCACUACCCCAAACCUGCUUCUCCAUCUUUGGUGUUUCCCAUUUAAUAUGUUUCGCCUUCCUCUCUAAACUCUUUUCUCUGUCUUUCAGCAAGUGUGAAACAAUUUCCUCUUUUCACAGGGGCCUAGUG
rnacentral:lncRNA from 7 species